CUACGGGACGCAGCAGUCGAGGAAAUUUUACAAUGCUCGCAAGAGUGAUAAAAUAAACCAAAGUGUUUCUCCUAGAGAAACUUUUAUUUGCUGUAAAAAGGCAGAUGAAUAAGGACUGGGCAAGACCGGUGCCAGCCGCCGCGGUAAUACCGGCGGUCCAAGUCGCAUCCACAUUUAUUGAGUCUAAAACAUUCGUAGCUUGUUUUGUAAGUCUCUUGUGAAAUCUUAUAUCUUAAGUGUAAGGCGUGCAAGAGGUACUGCAUUACUAGAGACCGGAAGACGCAAAAAGUAUGGUUGAGGUAGCGGUAAAAUGUGUUAAUCUCAAUUAGACUAACAAUGGCGAAGGCAUUUUGCGAGUACGGAUCUGACAGUGAGGAAUGAAGGCUAGGGGCGCAAAAGGGAUUAGAUACCCCCGUAGUC
rnacentral:rRNA from 1 species